GCGGCUGAAGCAGCUCAAGACCAGGAUCAUCACUGGCACCGACUCCAUCGACAAGUUACGAGCCAAGUUGGUUGCAGCAGCCAGGUCAUCUUCCUCUUCUUCGUACUCGUCGUCUUCCUCGUCCUCGUCGCACAGCAGGACUCGAGUGAACCUGGAUUCUCCUGUCCAAGCACCUGAAGGGCUUUCAACCCAAAAUCCUCCAUCUCCCGUUGUCCAGGUAAACUCUUUUGGUUUUAGUAACUCCACCUUUAGUUUCAGCCGGCACCACACCGUCCUCAGCACGUCGCACCAGCAGCAAAGCCGGAUAACAGGGCCGAGCUCUUCGAACUGGUGAAGAACGGCCUCGUCAAAAACGCCUUUGAGAAAGCUCUGUCCCUGAACGAUCCUUCCACGGUCUGGUGGCUUUGCACCAAGGUAAUCCAUUCACGUCCUCCAGCUGCUCAUCAAAGCUUUGUCAGCUCAGUUGGAGGUUAGCAUCCUGCCCGCCUUCAGUGAAUCAAUGCUCAUGGAAGUGGCCGAGCAAAUCAACACCAACUUCAAGGAAGACACUGCUCGCAGGUUGCUCUGGUUCGCCGAGAUCCUGUUCAUCUUGCUGUACGUCAACGUCAAUGGACAGACAUCACCUCGGAUGCAGAGGAUCUUGGAGGAGCUUUCACAGAACCUCCACGGCAUGAUGGCUAUAACACCGUCAAAGAGCGAGCUGGGGACGGAGCUGGCGGACGUGCUGAAAAGAACCAACGUGGGUCUUCGGGUUCGUAUGAAGCUCUUCGUGUUAUUCGUUUGAUUCAAAUCGUUUGUCGUCGCAGCGUAUCCGAUAUGGGAACAAACUUCAGAAGAAAGGGAAAAGAAAACUGUGAAAUAAAAAAGCUAUAUAUUUCCAGCGGAACACCGGUAGUUUAUGAGUAUUGAGAUGUUCUAAUUUUCUGCCUGCCAAAAGUAUCAACCAUGCUUCACGAAAGAACCAUAAAGAACUUACCAAUUCCCAUUCGUAACUUCGUCUCAUCCUGCUGGGGAAAAUGUGAAGGAAACUUACGAGAUAAAUAUCAAAGCACAAAGGUCUCACCAUUCUUUACUUCUUAAACUCGAGUAGACGGUGAAGAUCCCAACCUUUUCUAUCUGGCAGCAGCAGUAGCAGCCUUGGCAGCUUCCGGAUCAUCGCUCUCCGCUCAAAGAACGAUUUUCCAGAAACUUCAUGGCACCAGAAGUGUGGACCAGCGAGCGCUACACGAAGAAGGCCGACGUUUACAGCUACGGGAUGCUGAGCUACCAGCUUGUCACUGGAAACACUCCGUUCAAGGUCGGGAUGGACAUGGAGCAAGUCCUUCGAGGCGAGCGUCCUGAGAUACCAGCCACCUGUCCAGAGUUCCUGUCGCAGCUCAUGCGGGAAUGCUGGAGCCACGAUGCAAAAGAGAGGCCUUCCUUCUCCGAUAUCUGCAAGCGGCUGAAGCAGCUCAAGUCCAGGAUCAUCACUGGCACCGACACCAUCGACGAGCUACGAGCCAAGUAGGUUGAAGCAGCCAGGUCAUCUUCCUCUUCUUCGUACUCGUCGUCUUCCUUGUCCUCGUUGCACAGCAGGACUCGAGUGAACCUGGAUUCUCUUGUCCAAGCGACUGAGAAGCUCUGGACCCAAAAUCCCCCGCCUUGUCGUGUCCAGGUAAACUCUUUUGCUUUAUGUA
rnacentral:lncRNA from 1 species